GGGCUGGUAGUUUAGGGGUAGUAAUGCUUGGUUUGCAACCAAGAGGUCAGGGGUUCAAAUCCCCUCCAGUCCACCA
rnacentral:tRNA from 1 species